UUAGACAGCUAGGAGGUUGGCUUAGAAGCAGCCACCCUUUAAAGAAAGCGUAAUAGCUCACUAGUCGAGUCGGCCUGCGCGGAAGAUGUAACGGGGCUCAAACCAUGCACCGAAGCUACGGGUAUCACCUUUUGGUGAUGCGGUAGAGGAGCGUUCUGUAAGCCUGUGAAGGUGAGUUGAGAAGCUUGCUGGAGGUAUCAGAAGUGCGAAUGCUGACAUGAGUAACGACAAUGCGAGUGAAAAACUCGCACGCCGAAAGACCAAGGUUUCCUGCGCAACGUUAAUCGACGCAGGGUUAGUCGGUCCCUAAGGCGAGGCUGAAAAGCGUAGUCGAUGGAAAACAGGUUAAUAUUCCUGUACUUCCAGUUAUUGCGAUGGAGGGACGGAGAAGGUUAGGCCAGCCUGGCGUUGGUUGUCCAGGUUUAAGGUGGUAGGCUGGAAUCUUAGGCAAAUCCGGGAUUUCAAGGCCGAGAGCUGAUGACGAGUUGCCUUUAGGCGACGAAGUGGUUGAUACCAUGCUUCCAAGAAAAGCUCCUAAGCUUCAGAUAACUGGGAACCGUACCCCAAACCGACACAGGUGGUUAGGUAGAGAAUACCAAGGCGCUUGAGAGAACUCGG
rnacentral:rRNA from 1 species